rnacentral:lncRNA from 1 species
GUGGUGAUAAUAAUAAAACAUUAGAUGUAACAUUAAAUCUCAUAUUUAGUACCACAACAUUUUAUAAAAGAAACACAAAAUCCAAAUACACAUCACUACCAAAAUAAGCAAAGCAUGCUAGUUGGUUGGAAUACAACAAUUCAAGUAGUCCAUUAAUUCUAAUAUUACACAAUGCCUUAAAUCCCAUAAAGAAAGAAGUACUCUUCAUGAACCAACACACAACAAUAUUUGAAACUACACACUCUUCAAAUCCAUUUAACAUAUAAACACAUAUUUAUAAGAUAAUUAAUCUUUCAAUCUUUUGCCUUUGUAUAUAUUCUCAAUUCUUGAAGAUUGAUGCAUUUGGUAGGGUUGAUGAAAUCAUAUUAUUAAAUGCUUGGCAUGUUAUUCCAAAGGCAAGAACCAAAGUGCCAAUCUUGAUUUGGUGACUCAAGUGAGUCUGCAACCGGGUUGUACUCUGAAGCAAUGGGUUGACUAUGCAUCGUGUUGCUUGUACCAUCGUUCAAACUUGGCGAUUCGCUUCCAUCUUCUCCAUCCCAAUCCGGGAUUGGGACAGACAACGGGAAAUUGUCUAGAAGGUUCAUCAGUUCGUCGUCCAUCUGAGUCGUGUCUUUGGGAGCCUUUGCUUCCACGCCUGUGCCAAAUGAUACGUUAUCAAUAUCACUAGUAACAAUUAAUGUAUGAAAAAUA